rnacentral:rRNA from 1 species
GGCAGGCCUAACACAUGCAAGUCGAGCGGACGUAGCAAUACGUCAGCGGCAGACGGGAGAGUAACACGUGGGAACGCGCCCUUCGGUUCGGAAUAACUCAGGGAAACUUGGGCUAAUACCGAAUACGCCCUUACGGGGAAAGAUUUAUUGCCGAAGGAACGGCCCGCGUCCGAUUAGCUUGUUGGUGAGGUAACGGCUCACCAAGGCGACAAUCGGUAGCUGGUCUGAGAGGAUGACCAGCCUCACUGGGACUGAGACACGGCCCAGACUCCUACGGGAGGCAGCAGUGGGGAAUAUUGGACAAUGGGCGCAAGCCUGAUCCAGCCAUGCCGCGUGGGUGAUGAAGGCCCUAGGGUUGUAAAGCCCUUUCGGCGGGGAAGAUAAUGACGGUACCCGCAGAAGAAGCCCCGGCUAACUUCGUGCCAGCAGCCGCGGUAAUACGAAGGGGGCUAGCGUUGCUCGGAAUUACUGGGCGUAAAGCGCACGUAGGCGGCUUCUUAAGUCGGAGGUGAAAUCCUGGAGCUCAACUCCAAACUGCCUUCAUACUGGGAGGCUCGAGUCCGGGAGAGGUGAGUGGAACUGCGAGUGUAGAGGUGAAAUUCGUAGAUAUUCCAAGAACACCAGUGGCGAAGGCGGCUCACUGGCCCGGUACUGACGCUGAGGUGCGAAGCGUGG